CACUUAAGGAGUACAAUGGAGCUCUUUGUAAGCUGUGUGGAAGCCAAGGGGCCAGAGGAUACCCACCUGAGAUGCUGCUAGUGCUGGAUCAACCUUUGCUACCAUGUAGUUUUAUGGUCCAGGAAGUGUGAGUUGACACCUUGGAUAACUGAAUCCCACACACAGAUCACUUGCUCCAAAGGAAAACCAGCUGCCAUGUCAAGAGGACACAUCAAGCAGUACUAUGGAGGACCCCCAUGGGGAAGAACAGAGGUCUUUUGCCAAUAACCACUUACCAAAGAUGCCUGUUUUAGCCAUGAGAAGCCCAAGGUCCUCUCCUGACAGAUGCGGAAGCUAAGGGCUUGAGAGUCGGUGUGACAACGUGCCAGAGCAAAUCGUGGUCUGACUGCUUGCUAACUGCAGUGAAGGACCUGCUGUUCCCCCACCUCCUCACAACUUUAGGACAAGUCCACGUCCAUGUACUAGCACCACCAAAUAGAAUUACCUUGAAUCCUGUCAAUAAAUGACAAUAAAUCAUCACCAAUACAGAA